rnacentral:lncRNA from 1 species
AUAGUUUAUUUUAUUUAGAAAUAAACUUAACUUGAAAUGUGAAUCAACUAGAAUUUGAACUUGAGAUCUCGGGUAUCAACCAUUAAAUCCUUUACCACUUGCUCUAGAAACGGUUGGUAGGUCAACAAUAGUUAAAAUCCAAAAUUUUAUAUUCCAAAAGCACUUAUCUACUAUUCUGAUAACUGUGUGGUAUUAUUAUUAUUAUUAUAUAGCUGAAAAAUAAGUUUUAUAAGUGUUUGGUUUGACGUGAAAGAUUGUUUUAGUUAAAAGUAAUUUUAUAUAUUGCAGGAGGAAAAAAAUUUUUAUUUUUAUU